CUUCACUAACUUCAGCUAGAGGGACUUAGAAAAUUAAUGAUUAUUCAAAAUUUACAAAGCUAAGGAAGUAUGUAAGAACUUCCAAAUGAGUCCACAUUUCUCCCAGGCUUGCAGCGAACUGCUACCCGAGAGCCCAAGUUUCUCAACAUUCACAUCAGUGUCUAGAAAGUAGCUUUGGUUCUGCAAAUGUCUUGGGAAUGUAGUGUUUUGCUGACAUCAUGGAAAGCUGCCUGUGUGAUGAAGUCAUGUCUGUGGUGGGGCUGUGAGUUAGAGCCAUCGCUUUGGAAGAUGCUUCACCAUGACCUGGUCCAGGCUGAAGAGAGCAGGCCUUUUAAAAGAAUGGCUCUGC